UUGGUUUCAGAGAAAUCCGACGUACUUCUGAUGAAAUGCAGAAGACAUUAAGGUACGUACCUUUUCCGGUGGGCUUCUGAUCUCCCGCUGGAUCAAAAUGGAGGCCAGCUCUGCGCAUCGGCCGGCGCUGGACGCCUCCCUCCCUGGCGAUGAUGCUUCUAAACGCCCGUUGCUCUCCGUUCUUCUCAGGGAUGUCUCACCAGCAAGGGGACGAUGGCUCAGGUUGUUCACGCUGAUCUCACUCAGCUGCUCGUCGUUCUGCUGUGCCAGCCCCGCCAUCUUCGGCCGAGCUCGAGCUCUGGGUGACACGGACUCUGAGGCGCGCCUCGUCGUGGGCUGCUGCUUCCUCGGCUUGGUUGGCUCAGACUUCUUCUCUUGCUCCAGUUUCCUCAGCUGCUGGAGCCGUGGACUGAGUGAGCCAGAAGAUUUCACGGCGCCGCCUCUGCUGUUCUCCUUCGUCAACUGCGGAGACCGAGGUGAGCCAUGGGAGGCUUGAACUCGAGCUCUUUGCGAACUGUUUCCUUCCUCAUCACUGCACCUGCGAUUCUCUGUGUUCUCAGUGGCGCUGCCGCCCGUGUGAACCCUUCGAAGGCUGGCGAGCCCGCCGAGAGGAAUUAUCGAAGAAGAAGGGAUGUGGGACCGGUGGAUGGACCUCGCAGGCUUCAUAAUCACAAUGGGAGGGGCCUCUGAUGAAAAAGAUCCGAUCAGCUGUCUGGUUUGCGGAUUUUGAACCCCCGCAGUUCUU
rnacentral:lncRNA from 1 species